rnacentral:lncRNA from 1 species
GCCUGCGACUUCACUGGGGUGCUAGUUCCCUUGCAGAAGAUGUCUCCUGAUGGUUGAUUGAAGAUCCUCUUCGUAUCUCUUAGACUCUCUUAGAGAAGAAGAAGAUUAGGAGAAGAAAGAAGAGGAGGAUGAAGAACAAAAGGACUCUCUUCUUUUCUUUCUGAAACCUAUAUAUAAGAUCCCUAUGCUAGAGAUCUAUCACACUUGAGAAAAGAACUCUUCUUUUCUGUCAUGCCUAAGAAGAACUUUUCUUUUUUUUUGUCACACACAAGAGAGAACCUU